GACGAACGCUGGCGGCGUGCUUAACACAUGCCAGUCGAACGGAAAGUCCCUGCUUUUGUGGGGUGCUCUAGUUGCGAACGGGUGAGUAACACGUGAGUAACCUGCCCUUGACUUUGGGAUAACUUCAUGAAACUUGGGCUAAUACCGGAUAGGAGCUCCUGCUUCAUGGUGGGGGUUGGUAAGUUUCGGCGGUUGGGGAUGGACUCGCGUCUUAUCAGCUUGUUGGUGGGGUAGUGGCUUACCAAGGCUUUGACGGGUAGCCGGCCUGAGAGGGUGACCGGCAACAUUGGGACUGAGAUACGGCCCAGACUCCUACGGGAGGGAGCAGUGGGGAAUAUUGCACAAUGGGCGGAAGCCUGAUGCAGCAACGCCGCGUGCGGGAUGACGGCCUUCGGGUUGUAAACCGAUUUCGCCUGUGACGAAGCGUGAGUGACGGUAAUGGGUAAAGAAGCACCGGCUAACUACGUG
rnacentral:rRNA from 1 species